UACGUAGGGGGCAAGCGUUGUCCGGAAUCAUUGGGCGUAAAGCGCGUGUAGGCGGCCAGAAAAGUCCGCUGUGAAAACUCGAGGCUUAACCUCGAGCUGUCGGUGGAAACUUUCUGGCUAGAGUCCGGAAGAGGAGAAUGGAAUUCCUGGUGUAGCGGUGAAAUGCGCAGAUAUCAGGAAGAACACCCGUGGCGAAGGCGGUUCUCUGGGCCGAUACUGACGCUGGAGGAGCGAAAGCGUGGGGAGCGAACAGG
rnacentral:rRNA from 1 species